UGGGGAAUUUUGGACAAUGGGCGAAAGCCUGAUCCAGCAAUGCCGCGUGUGUGAAGAAGGCCUUCGGGUUGUAAAGCACUUUUGUCCGGAAAGAAAUCCUUGGCUCUAAUACAGUCGGGGGAUGACGGUACCGGGAAGAAUAAGCACCGGCUAACUACGUGCCAGCAGCCGCGGUAAUACGUAGGGUGCAAGCGUUAAUCGGAAUUACUGGGCGUAAAGCGUGCGCAGGCGGUUUGCUAAGACCGAUGUGAAAUCCCCGGGCUCAACCUGGGAACUGCAUUGGUGACUGGCAGGCUAGAGUAUGGCAGAGGGGGGUAGAAUUCCACGUGUAGCAGUGAAAUGCGUAGAGAUGUGGAGGAAUACGAUGGCGAAGGCAGCCCCCUGGGCCAAAUACUGACGCUCAUGCACGAAAGCGUGGGGAGCAAACAGGAUUNGGAUACCCUGGUAGUCACGCCCU
rnacentral:rRNA from 1 species